rnacentral:rRNA from 1 species
UGGGGAAUUUUGCACAAUGGGGGAAACCCUGAUGCAGCGACGUCGCGUGAUUUAGAAGGCCUUCGGGUUGUAAAAAUCUUUUUUACGGGAUGAAAAUGACAGUACCGUAAGAAUAAGGUCCGGCUAAAUACGUGCCAGCAGCCGCGGUAAUACGUAUGGACCGAGCGUUGUCCGGAUUUAUUGGGCGUAAAGCGAGCGCAGGCGGUCAAUUAAGUCUGAUGUGAAAGCCCCCGGCUCAACCGGGGAGGGUCAUUGGAAACUGGUUGACUUGAGUGCAGAAGAGGAGAGUGGAAUUCCAUGUGUAGCGGUGAAAUGCGUAGAUAUAUGGAGGAACACCAGUGGCGAAGGCGACUCUCUGGUCUGUAACUGACGCUGAGGCUCGAAAGCGUGGGUAGCAAACAGG